rnacentral:rRNA from 1 species
CAAUAGCGUAUAUUAAAGCUGUUGCGGUUAAAAAGCUCGUAGUUGGAUUUCUGUCAAGGACAACUGGUCCGCCCCUCGGGUGAGCACAUAGUUUGGUCUUGGCAUCUUGUUGGAAACUGUUGCUGCACUUGGUUGUGUGGCGCAGUGUCCAGCACUUUCACCUUGAGGAAAUUGGAGUGUUUCAAGCAGGCACAUGCCUUUGGACACAGUAGCAUGGAAUAAUUAGAUUGGGCUUUUGCUCCAACUUGUCGGUUUCUGGAGCUGAGGUGAGAAUUAAUGGGGAUUGUUGGGGGCAUCCGAAUUUAGCCGUCAGAGGUGAAAUUCUUGGAUCUGCUAAAGACGGACAACUGCGAAAGCGUUUGCCCAGGAUGUUUUCAUUGA